AGCAGCCGCGGUAAUUCCAGCUCCAAUAGCGUAUAUUAAAGUUGUUGCAGUUAAAAAGCUCGUAGUUGAAUUUCGGGGUUAGUAGGUUGGUCAUGCCUCUGGUAUGUACUGGUCUCACUGAUUCCUCCUUCCUUAUGAACUGUAAUGCCAUUAAUUUGGUGUUGCGAGGAAUUUGGACUGUUACUUUGAAAAAAUUAGAGUGUUUAAAGCAAGCUAACGCUUGAAUACAUUAGCAUGGAAUAAUGAAAUAGGACGUUCGAUCUUAUUUUGUUGGUUUCUAGGAUUGACGUAAUGAUUAAUAGGGAUAGUUGGGGGCAUUAGUAUUCAAUUGUCAGAGGUGAAAUUCUUGGAUUUAUUGAAGACUAACUACUGCGAAAGCAUUUGCCAAGGAUGUUUUCAUUAAUCAAGAACGAAAGUUAGGGGAUCGAAGACGAUCAGAUACCGUCGUAGUCUUAACCAUAAACUAUGCCGACUAGGGAUCGGAUGAUGUUAAUUUUUAAUGA
rnacentral:rRNA from 1 species